rnacentral:rRNA from 1 species
GAUGAACGCUGGCGGCGUGCUUAACACAUGCAAGUCGAACGAAGCACUUAAGAUUGAUUCUUCGGAUGAAGUCUUUUGUGACUGAGUGGCGGACGGGUGAGUAACGCGUGGGUAACCUGCCUCAUACAGGGGGAUAACAGUUAGAAAUGACUGCUAAUACCGCAUAAGCGCACAGGACCGCAUGGUCUGGUGUGAAAAACUCCGGUGGUAUGAGAUGGACCCGCGUCUGAUUAGCUAGUUGGUGGGGUAACGGCCUACCAAGGCGACGAUCAGUAGCCGGCCUGAGAGGGUGAACGGCCACAUUGGGACUGAGACACGGCCCAA